GUGAGGUUAUCAGCAAAGAUCCUAUAGCUCUGCUAUAGGGUGAUUUCACCAAAGGUCAAAUGAGCGUAGAUCCCCCCUCACGUGACCGAAAAUUUUAACUGGAGGACAUCUCUCAGUUUGGUACAUUCAUGGCUUGUCUGUAGCAGGAAGAGUUUCCUCUGGGGAUAUGAACAUAACCAGAAGAAUGAACAGAAACCAGAGAAGACUGAAACAAAAACACUGAAUUAAGGAGGAGGAGGGAAAGUGGGAAUAGGCAAGGAGCAAAAAGCCAUGUUUCCCAUGUGCCUGCAGGGAACAAUUCCAAAGCUCACAGAAGGCCCUGUCACUGAAUCCUGAUUGCCAGAGGCACCAUACAUCCUCCGAGCAAAAUAUGAACAACAUUGACUGUAGCAAUCAAAGGCAUAUGGUCUGUGUGUUGAGUUGUAGGUCCAAGAAGGCUUGCAACAGAACUUUAUGUGAAGACUAGUUAACGCAAAUUAAUUGAACACAAAGUGCUGGAGUAACUGAGCAGGUCUGACAGCAUCUCUUAUGGACAUGGGUAGACAAUGCUUGGGGUUAGGAGCCUUCCAGGCUCAGACCCGAAAUGUCACUUAUCCAUGUACCCCAGAGAUGCUUCCUGACCUGCUGAGUUACUCCAAUAUUUUGAAUUCUGUGCAAGAUUCCACCAUCAGCUGUUUCUUGUGUCUUGUAUUUAAUGAAUUACUGAUGUGAUGCUGACUGUUGGUGGAUGGUAAUGUGAAUUUACUCAUAGUUAAGUGAUGCAGUUGGUGAGAUGUUCCUCUUUUAAAUUAAACUCCCCCACUUUGGUGGCUUGUGCAAGGAUAUUAAACAAUUUCUUGAAGAGAAUUCCGUCAUUUGGAGAUACAUUACCACCAAUGAGCUCCACUCGUUCCUAUUUCUAAUGCUGUUCGGUUGUACGUCUGUCUUGCAGUGGAUACAAACGUUCCCUCAUCUUCCAAAUUGUUCCAACUAACGCACCCAAUGCACUAUCAGUGAACACUUGCGAGUUCAAUCAUUGUUCAGUAUUUCAGCACAAAUUCACUUCCCAAUUUCAAUUCAAUUCAAUGAACUUUAUUUUUCCGUUAGGAACUUUGGUUUAUUGCAGCUUUUCACCAUUUAUUGCAGACGCACUGCACCACCUAUUUAAGAAUUGCAGGCUGCCUUUAAGUAUCACUCAAAAUGGCGACUUUACAGCUCAUGUGUGCAAUGUGGUAACAGGGAAGGUCAUAUUGCAAAGAAUGUCGAUGGAUUAACAGCAUACUACAAUCCCUACAUUGUUAGUUGGAGUAUCUUGUGGCUGCAAGAUCGAUUUUAAUCAUUUCUGGAGGUCCUAACACAAAACUUUGCAUUUGCUGCAAAAUGAUUGCUGCAAAAAGAUUUGCUGCAUGAAGCAACAUAAAAUGAUCGCAACGUUAUUAGUGGCCAUUAAUAACAAACCAUUUUAUCACCAAACUGAGAAGGCUUCUCUUACAAUUUGUUAUGUGUGUUGUAUCAUAUUUGCAUUAGAUUCAAAUUUGAACAUGUGUGAGGUAGAGUCUAGCUUUCUGAUGACUGGUUUGCAAAUAUUAAGAGCUGGUUUGAGAUUCACUAAAUUAAUUGCAACCAACUGAUUCUUUGUCCCUUUGGUUAGCUUCCGAAUAUUACAAAUGUGACUAUUUCUGAACACUUAUUUGGGUGUAAAGUGUUUUGAUCCAUCUUUGUUGUUCUUCCCCUUGACGUACAUUCACCCUUCCUUCAAGCUUUCAAUAUACACCCACAGCUCACUGGGACAUACAUUCAAAGACAGCCAACACAGUUUCCUUCAAAAGCAUUUAUUUUUGUGUAAAACAGUUCUUUUUAUUCUGAAUGAAAUUGAAUUGAGAACGGAGGCAUCUUUGGCCUUAUCUUCAGUCUAAGAAGUAAUCCCAUAUCCUUGUUUUCUCAAUCCAGGGGAAGUAGGCAGUGGUUCUGGUAAAUACACUGGGCUUAUUUUCAACAAUGCAGCCAGUCGGCCCAAAGCUGACCACACCGUGAACCUCCCACUUAUCCGAGCCAUGCUGACAGAGAAGUGGGCCACCAGAGUCCCCCUGAAACACAAGACACAGUGCGGUCAAUCCCAGAACAAUACAAUCAUACACAGUGAAUCCCAGUGGCUCUUCAUCACAUUCAGUGAACCUUGUAGGCUGAAGGCGCUGUUCUAUGUUCUCUGUGCAGGUACAUAAGAGUCGGCCUCAGCAUCAUGUUUGGCACAGACAUUGUGCACAGACACUGUGCACAGACACUGAAGGUCCUGCUUGGGAACUACACUGUUCUAUGUUCUAAAGGUCAUGUACAAUACUUCAUUCUAACAUUAAAGGUGCAUGAUGAGGCCCUGCAAAUCACGGACUGCUCCUUAUAUCUUGCAAGACACCUUUUGGCGGUCACAGUAGCUCAGCGGUAGAGUUGCUGCCUUGCAGCGAAUGCAGCGCCAGAGACCCGGGUUCGAUCCUGACUAUUGGUGCUGUCUGUAAGGAAUUUGUACGUUCUCCCUGUGAUCUGCGUGGGGUUUUCUCCAAGAUCUUCUGGUUUCCUCCCACACUCCAAAGACGUACAGGUUUGUAGGUUAAUUGGCUUGGUAAAUGUAUAAAUUGUCCCUAGUGGGUGUAGGAUAGAGUUAAUGUGUGGGGAUUUCAGGUCGGCACGGACCUGGUUGGUCUCUAAACUCCGCGCUGUAUCUCUAAACCAAACUAACAGGUAGACAUUGAUGUUGAAAACCACCAUUGCUUUCAGUGUUCCAUCACAGAAAAGAUCAUGACUUCAUAGUCAAAUCUCAUGAUGUACUGGGCAGCAGUGAUCCACACCCACUUGUUCAUCUCAGACUAUAACAGACACCUCAGAGCACUGGAGAGAUACCCACCAACGUCUCUGUAUAAUCUUCCAAAUCCAUUGGUGGGAUAAUCAAAUUAAAAUUAGCAACCUUUAUUAGGUUAACAACCCUAGCAUAGAUGCCCUGGUAACAUUCAGUCACCUCUAGAGAAUAGGGCGUUGUUCGAAUGCUUAUCACCAGAUUCCCAAAACAAGCCCUCUAUUCUGAAAUUGGUCACAGAAAGUGAUUGCAAGGUGACUGGGAAAAUAUAAUCAAAGAUAUUCUCAAUAGUUUCUUGUAAAUAUGUAACAUGUUCACCAACCAGCGGGUACCCCUGGCUGCUUAAGAUGGUAUGGGGAAUUAGAGAUUCCAUUGAGAGCCUUGAGUCCAUUUGUCACUGGCACACAGAAGCCCAGCGUAAAAGGCAAAAGGAAUGCAACAUCUCCCAAAAUGUCCAUGUGUCUACCCCAUCAAGUAUCUCCUGCCCUGUCUGCAGCAGAGUAUAGAUCCCACAUGAACCUUAUCAACCACUCCAGAAUGCGCAGAAUUGGUGUCAUCCUUGAUCCCAAGAAAUCACCGCAGAAUAAGAGAACUCUCCAACACUGCCCAGAUGGUAAACAGUAGACUCUAGUCAUACAGAGGAGCUAACUAGGGAUUUCUUUGGCCCCAGAGCUCGAUGCUAGACUGAAGGAACACCUAUUGAAAAAAUCUCUGCAAAACAUUUUUGUCUUUCGUUUUAAGCGUCAAAUUAACUGUAGAAACAAGGAACUGAAGAAUAGUCUCAACCCCAAACGUUACCUAUCCAUGUUCUGCAGGGAUGCUGCCUGACCUGCAGAGUUUACUCCAGCAAUUUGUGUCUUCAAAUUAACUUUGCCUGUCUGGUCUAUUAAAAAGGAUGAUAAGAGAGUACAAAAGGGGCACCAAUGAGGGGAAUAGGUGAUGUUAAGCUACAACCUGCUCCCUUCCUAUUACCUGGCAAGCUGCAGGAGGUUCUUCUGUAUCUUUAAAACCAGCACAAAUCAUUGUGUUACGCACUCGAUCCCCCCAGAACUUCUUCAUUUUGCAGGUCUGAUGUCCAAUGAUUGGCAGUCUGGCUUGGUUUAGCACUUCAGAUAAAGUGACAUUUUCCCUUUGUCCUGAAAAGAAAGGAACAAAUCAGACCUGACUGGUCUAGCACGUGGACUGGAUGUGGCCUGUAGCGGCAGAGUGCGGUGAGGAACAUCAAUGGCCAGGCCGAACCUGUAACACCGCCAUAACAACAGGCCUUCAUGGUCAGUUUAAUAUCUCUACACCUAUAACAACUGUGACUUGAAAACGGCGCCAAACCUGGUGACUCUGUAUACUGCCUAAAUGCACUACCACUACACACUUGUACUGUAUCCAUGAUGCUUAUCAAAGAUAUAUCUAAGUGAUUAUAUAUGGUGAUACCUGUACUGAACUGUAUACAAAAAUAAAUUUCACUGUAGCUUGGUACACGUGACAAAUAAAGUACUGUUGAAAU